rnacentral:misc_RNA from 1 species
AAGCAGGAGAGUAAAAUAGCGGGCCAGCUCUCAGACUAUUCCAAAAGAGGGUGUGUGAAGAGAUAAAGAGAGAGGGAGAAACUCUGAGAGUUAUGUAAACCCUCAUUGUAAUAAGUAACAAUCAGCAAACAUCUCGCCGGGACGUGCACACACUUCUCUUCCUGGAUAGCUUUUCCAUAUUUGUGGCCUCCCAAUCAACUCCAAAAUGUCUCCAACAGCUUCUGCUCCCAAAUUAGAACCAGAAUCCCAUCCUUUGACUCAGCAGGUUCGAAUGGUUCUCCUCGGUCCUCCAGGAUCUGGCAAAGGAACUCAAUCUCCCAAGUUGCGAGAUCACUACAAUGUUUGUCACUUGUCCACGGGGGAUCUCCUCAGACAUGAAGUCCGCAAUAAAACUCCAUUGGGAAAUCAAAUUAAGGCUGUUAUUGAUGCGGGUAAAUUAGUCUCCGAUGAGACUGUUCUCAAACUUGUCGAAAAUAACUUGGACAAGAAGGAAUGUGAAAAUGGGUUUUUAUUGGAUGGUUUUCCACGAACGGUUCCUCAGGCUGAGCAAUUAGAUAAACUUCUACAGAAAAGAAAUGAACCAGGAGUGGACGCGGCUGUAGAAUUUGCCAUUGAUGACUCAUUGCUUGUUCGAAGAAUAUGUGGACGUUGGUUUCAUAUGUCUUCGGGUAGAUCCUAUCAUGAGGAAUUCAAACCUUCUAAAGUACCGGGUGUGGAUGACGUCACGGGUGAGCCACUAGUUAAACGACAGGAUGACAACGCAGACACACUCAGAACUCGCUUAAAUACCUACCAUAAUGAGACAAUGCCUCUAAUCGAUUACUACCAAAAAAGAAGAAUUCAUCGACGGAUAGAUGCAUCCAUGGACUCAUCUACUGUUUUUGAAAAUAUCAAAAAUAUUUUUGCAGAUUUAAAAAGUACGUUGACUGAAAGUAGAACUUCCGUUCUUUAAGUCUAUAUAAAUUAUUAUUCAUUUACCUAGUUCAUUUUGUGGGCAGGGCAGAUUUGCCUAAAUGUCAUUUACUACAAAUUUAACGCUUAGUGAUGCUUUUAUCUUCAAUUUUUUUGUAUGAAAAUCAUUAUAAUAAAUUAAUUAAAUUAUGUUUACCGUGUACCACAAAUAACAUUUUAGUGUUCAAGUCUGGCAAAUUUUAUUACCUUUCAAGGCAGUCACCAUUUAUAAAAAUUCGGUCCUAAUAUAAAAACAUCUUAGUUACUCUGAAUCAAACGGAUUAUUUAUGUAUUGUGCUGAGAAAAGUCAUAAAGAUAUUUGCUUCAAUAAUUAAUCAUUGUUAUUCUUUGACAUUAUUGAUUUAUUAUUUGUAAAGUGAUGAAUGUUUUCAAUUAAAUCUUUCUUUUUUUUUUAACUUUUUUUUUCUAGUUCAAAGUCACCGUAUAUUUCUUUCCUAUGAUUGAUAUUGGCAUAUUAAGAACUUUAGAUUGAAUAAUCUUACAUUAGUAAGAUAUUUUGAUUUUGCUUUUCAUUUAGUUUAUUUUUAAUGAGUAUCUUUAUGUGUUAUGUUAAGGGUCAAUUGACCCAUUUCAAUUUUUGGCUUGGCCGAGGUUAUAUACUGAUUAACCUCUUCAUUUCAAUAUAAAAUGUUUUGACUUUUCUUCAUCCGGGUCAAGUACAAGUGGGUAUAAUUAGAAAAUUUUGAAAGGACGUGGAAUGGUUGGACAUUGUUUGUUUAUAAAAAUGCUGUUACGGGUCAUUUUGAUCUGGAUACUUUAUAUGGGAUUCAGAUCCCGAAUAAACUUAUUCCUUUUGAGUUCA